GGAUUUAAAGGGUCUAAUUUAUUUGUGGAUGCAUUUGGGAUCGUCAAACUUGCUGACUUUGAGAUUGCUAAACAUGGAAGUCUAAACUGGAUGGCUGCAGAGCUCAUACAAUCCUUGAUGGCGAAUGAUAACAGCAUGGAUCUCAAUCGUUUUGCUGAUAUCCGAAGUU